rnacentral:misc_RNA from 1 species
UGUGGGAGGGGGCUUGCCCCCGACAGCAGUGUGUCAGGCACUUAUCUGCCACUGACACGCCGCUAUCGGGGGCAAGCCCCCUCCCACA